UCUCUCUCUUUCUCUUUCUCUUUCUCCCUCUCCCCUUAAUGGAGUCCCCAGAAGACUAUGCACAGGGAAGACUUCAGAGGAACAGGGGAGAGAUCUGCCUUCUGAGGCUGGGCCACUGAGGAAUCCCUGAGGCACGGAUCCUGCUGACCACUCCAAGCCCUGGGCCCUGAUGACACAGCUGGGACUUAGCUCUGCAGUUCACUGAAGAGGCUGGGAUGGGGGAGAAGGGAAGAGGGCGUCAGAAGAAGCUGGGGUCUGUUCAUAGGACCUAGGGUGCUUUUCUUCCUGUUCAGCUCUGCCCAGGGCUCGUGCCCCUCCCCCACAGCUGCACACAUACACCCAGGAGCAGAGGCAGCACCUGUCCAGGACUCCAAGCUGUACCCAGGACCACUGCCCAGGGAUGACACGGCUCACAAUGAUCUGGACCAUCCCACAUCAAUCAUCAAUCAGGAAGACUGCCACAAGCUUGCCCACAUGACAAACUGGCUUUCCCACACAAGCGCUGUCACACACGGCACAGGGGAGGAACAUUCCAAGCCUGUACCAGCCAGCUUCAUCCGUGUGCUAAUGUUCUGCUGCCUUCUCUGGUUCCUGCUUUCCUACCAGGGCCCUUCGUAAGUGAUCAGAGUUUAACAGAAGAAAUCAAUCAACUCAACUGCAGAAUAAAGCAAGGAACCAAGUGACCCAGUAGCUGUUGAGAGAACAUUGGAGGGGCUGGGGUGAUGCUGGCAAAGUAUCCCAUGCAUGCAUGAGGCCUGGAGCCUGAACCCUCAGCGUCUGCAUGAAAGCCAAACAUAGUGAUGCUCAUCUGCAAUCUCAGCCCCGGGGAGGCACAGAGAUGCAGGUACCUGGGGCUUACUGCCAUGUGUAUGCCCAUAUGGGAAAACAAGCAUUCCACACACACUAAAUAGAAAGACAAUAUUCUUAAAGAAGAAAAAGUCUCAUGUUUUUAGGUCAGUGUAGCUGUCCUAGGGCACAUGUGAUCACAGGCAGGAUAGACAAACCUAGACUAUACCAAGAAACUUAGGAGCCCCUAUAGUGAUGUAAGGCUUAUUGCUAUAGGGUCAGGUGUGGAGCUCAAUACUCCAGGACCUGAUUAGCCUGAGUGAAGCCAUGCAUUCAAUUCCCAGUGUGCUUUGCAAAUACCCCCCACCCCCAACACACAGACAAUUGCUAUAAAGAGGGAGUCAUUGUGAGAGUGUCAUAGUCAGUGUUUCUAUUGCUGAGACAAAAUACCAUGACCAAAAGCAACUUGGGGAAGAAAGGGUUUAUUCAUCUUAUACUUCUAGUAUUAACAGCUCACCACUGAGGGAAGUCAGAGCAGGAACUCAGGCAGGACAGGAACUGAAGCAAAAUGGCCAACUCCUCUUAGAUUGCUCAGUUUGCUUUCUUAUACACCCCAUAAUGGGCUGGGCCUCCUCGCAUCAGUCAUCAAUCAAGAAAAUGCCCCCCCACAGGCUUGCCCACCAGCCAGUCUGGUUGGGGCAUUAGAUCAUUUUCUCAAUUGAGAUUUCCUCAUUCCAAAUGACUAGCUUGUGUCAAACUGACAUAAAACUAGCCAGCUUAGAGUAAUAUUAGCACAAGAAUGAAACACAUCACUGGGCAGGAUGGAAAACCCAGAAAUUGUGUCUACAUUUUGUGGGCACUUGGUUUUUGACACAGUCAAGAAGGAAAUUUGACAGAGAAAUCUGCUGGACAAACAGUGCUGGAAUAAUUCAUGGGAGGAACGGAACAGAUCAGAGCCUUGGUCAGGCAAGUCCAGGACUGACCAGGGGUUUGGCUCAUAGCUGUGUGACUAUAUGGGCUACAGGUGUAAGGGACGGGGAGUAUUUAGCCGAUUAAUCAAGACAGACCCGGCCCUCAAUGACACUGACUAUUUAGGACAGGACUGUGAGCUCUCGGUAAAGCGCCAGCUCAUUAGGAUUUCAGGCUCCGAGGAAGGAGGUACAGUGUCCCUGCUAUUGGUUCUCAAAUGCCCCUGUAGUCCCGAAGUGUCCUGGACUGCGUGGGUGUGAGUGGGUCUGGCUGUCUUGAUGAUUUCAGAUCACAGGAGGCAGUGGCCCAUGGACCUCUGGUGGUAGCAUUCUGGGAAAGGGUUGUGCUGGCUAUGGUGGGAAAAACUCUCUCUACUGUGACUCAGCCAACAGGUAGCCCCUCAUGUUUCCCAUCCAACCACUAGUCACCCAUCUUGUUCUAGAACAGCUGGAGAUUCAAGUCAGCCCUGGGAGGUCCUCCAAGUCCCUGCUGAGGGCAUGUCACUCUGGUAGAACUAUAUGGUGUUGGGCUUUGUGGAGGGACUCUGCCUGGAGUGGCAGAGGAGCUAGCUGUGUCACACAGAGCACAAAGACAAGCCGUGUCCCAUCCCUUCCCAUCUCUUUCUGCUUAGUCAUCAGCAAGGCUUCCGUGAAAACAAUCACAGUUGUGCUGGAGACUGGGGUGCAGACAGGCACAGCUGUUCCUUACUUAGUGCUGUGUGGUUAGGCCAGGACAGUGACAGGUGCCAGCCUGUCAGGGACGCUUCAGGCAGAGGCAGGUGUACACUCUGCUACGAGUCAGUCCUGAGCCCAUCGUAAGCGGCUGGGCAGAUAACUGGCCCUGGAGCUGGAACUAGCCCCUUCUCAGGCUGGGGGAAGCAGCAGGCACUGUCCUUAGCUCCUCUUUUGAGGCCUGGCUGGAGCCUACCUUAGCAAAGAAAAUGAGAAGUGGUCAGUGAGAAAGGCCAUCCAGCAGGACAGGGGCCAUGCUGUCCAAAGCCCAGAUGUCUGCUGUGUUAGUAGACGCCCCUGCUUCCUGGGGGGUUGGUUGGUGGCCUUGACCAUCUCAGAGUCCUUGUGUGAUAUGAUUGCAAUAGCCAUUUGCCAUCUGAGGCCUGGAGUCUUUGAGAGGGAGUGAGGAUGAGGUUGUAACCUGCCCGGGAGACUUGACUAUCCUAUGCCUGUCUUCCCCAAGGGCCCUCAUCCCUCUCUAGAGUAGUAGAACCACUUAUGAGCCUAGGAGGAGAAAUGGGCUCAACUUGAGGGUCACUGAGCCUUGGUUCUAGGCUGUCUGCUUCUCCCACUCCUUAUGAACUCUUAGUUAGGUGCUUCUGAGGCUCCUAGACCUGGGGGGUGUGGGAGAAAAUGCAGAAUGACGAUUUGACACAAGGGGUGGAAAGGCUGUGUCAAGGUCAAGACAAGGGUGUGGGCAAGUCACUGGCUAUGGCCGGAGAUUCCUGAGGUAUGGCAGGAGACAGGGGUCUCCUCUGUCAUGAAAUUUAAGUUCUUAUGUGGGACACCAGCACAUGAUCAGGGAAGUAAACAUUCCUCAGAGCCACACCCGGAUGAACACCAGGCUCUUGCUAUAAGUCUGAGAUUUUUCUAAUGGUCUCCUUUGCCGAGAAGGUCCCUCCUCCAUUCUGGAGACCAUGAAUCUACUCUGUCAAUCACCAGGAACUGAGUACCUGUUAAGAGAAGUUUUUCUUUGCUAGCCGCUUUGGUUUAUCUCCCGCCAGUUGCCUGGGCUCUGCCGCUUUGUAGUCCCCAAAUAAACACACAAGACGCUGUAUUAAUUA